UAGAGCCAUCCCUGGUCACAGGAAGGAGAGAAUGAUAACGAUGGAAGCAAUACUCACUAGCCCUAUGGCAGGCUUAGUAUGCGCCAUCCUGCCUCAUUGAAUUCUCCCAAUGACUGCCAGAUGGAAACCCACUCUAUUGCCCAGGCUGGAUGGAGUGCAAUAGCACAAUCUCAGCUCACUGCAACCUUCACCUCCCGAGUUCAAGUGACUCUCCUGCCUCAGCCUUCUGAGUAGCUGGGAUUACAGAAUGUAAGCUCCAGGCGGGCAAGAACUUGAUCUUCUUCACUCAAAGCUGAAGCCCCAGCAGGUACAAUCCCGUGCUGAGUCGCUUAUUCAUCAGCAGAGAGGAACACUGAUUCUCUUUGGAAAAGACAGACUGUCUAGCCUCCUGGAACUGCGGCACAGUCUCACUGAGGGCCUGCUUCCAUUCCAGUCAAAGAGAGACAAAAAGAAAAAACGCGCUGGGUGUCUGCACAGAUGGUUCCUCCAUCAUCCCAAGGUGCUUGUAAAUUGUCACCUCUGCCUCCCAUAGCCUCGGAGAAGGAGAGAGUGUCUGACCUCCCCACCCUGGCAUUUCUGCAUCCUGAGAAACUCACUGCCUGUGGAAGCUCCAGGCCCUCCCCACCUUGUCAGACACAGGUUCUGCUGGAAGGAGCCUCCAGCCUCUGGCUUUGCAGCUGAAGCUCAGAGCUGCCUGUGGGGGACCAGAAGCUCUGCUUCCACAAUGUCAGCAUCAUUCACAGCAGGCACGCCCUCCUGCCUCCAAGAGUCACCAGCAGCUUCCUCUUCCGCAGCUGUGAGUAAAUGAGAGGGUCCGCUCCACCCAAUAGCUUAAAUCCCAGUUUCAGGAUUUGACCUGCGGCCGAUCAGUCUAGGGACACAGGCCCAUUCCUGAGCCCAUCACUGUGGCUGGAAAGGUGGGAGACACUGACUAGUCUAAGCCAGUCAAGCCCUCUCAAGACCAAAUCGCGUGGGCAAGAAAUUUAGGACAAGGGCAGGAAGAAGGAAGAGAAAAGAGAAUGUCAAGGAGACAAACGACAAAUCGCUACCACUCCAUCCCUCCUACAAGAGAGAUGUAUUCCCCCCAUUUCAUGGAGGAGGAAACUGACGGUCAGAGCGGCCAAGAAACAGGAUGGUGCUCUCCUGUACGUAGGCACGUGCCGAAAGGGUGUGUACAGUCCUGAUACUACUUUCCCCAACCCACGGGUGGACCUCACUCUACAAGCCAAAGGAUACAAAUGGAGACGAGGCUAAUUUUUGCCCCUCAAACUGGCAAAGGUGAAUAAAACCAUGUUUCUUGAUGCUGGGGAGUGUGGAGCCAGGCAGACUGUUUACUCCUGCCUGCUAACGUAGAUGUUACCAUGAGCUUUCUGGAAGCAAGAGCUUCUAUAUUGCAUUUAGAGCAUUUUAUACCCUUUGACUUCCAGAAAUUUUGCUUCCAGGAAUUCACGUGGCCGUGAUGGGAGAUAUGGACUUGAAUGAUACCUAAAGCUGUCCACGGCUGUGUUACUCGCAGCGGGGAAAACCUGGCACCUCCAUGAUCUUGGUCUUUUACACUUACUUGUCAUUGGUAUCCAUCUCAGUCCACCAACUGCCACGUGUAAGAAAAACGCAGCUCUCUUUAUUGUUCUAGAAAUGAGUUUAAUUUUUAUUUUCAAGACUCCAAGAUGAUCAGUGGACAAAAACCUAGUCCCUGUCAGCUGGGGGACCCCCACCGCGUUUCCCCUGUGGAUUGCAUCUUGCACUGGCACCUAUGAGUUUCUCGGUGUAAUGUGGUUGUCAGUCUUCCAUCCGUUUGGUCACCACCUGUGUCCCCCUAUUCCUGAUCCUAUAGGCUCCUCUGGCCCCACAGCUCUCUGUGUAUAGAAGACAUUCUCCAUCCAGGACCAGGAUGUGGAAACGAGGCAGCAGGUCAGGCCCUCUGCUUGGACCCCACAGGCAGUCAGGCAGUCAUUGCUUCUGCUCACGCAGUGCUGAUGCAGGGACGUUGGGGUCUUCUUGCUUCCCGUGGGAAUGGCAGCUUAGGCCUCCUCUGCCUCAGAUCCCCACACUUUCAUGGAGGUUUGGGGAUUCCUUAGCUGGUCUGGGGUAAUAACCAUUGCCUUUACACCAACCUCCUGAUUUCUUCCACAUCUUCUUCCUACGUCAGAAGCAAGGCAGUUAGCACAGAAUGCCUCAGCUGCCUGGAUAUUUUGGGAGUAGGGUGGUGCAUGAAAAAGACUCUAGAGGAACCUUUGUUAGAAUCCCAAAUAGCGUCCAGGCAUGGUGGCUCACGCCUAUAAUCCCAGCACUUUAAGAGGCUAAGGUGGGCAGAUCACCUGAGGUUGGAAGUUUGAGACCAGCCUGAUCAACAUGGAGAAACUCUGUCUCUACUAAAAAUACAAAAAUUGUCUGGGCAUGGUGGUGCAUGCCUGUAAUCCCAGCUACUCAGGAGGCUGAGGCAGGAGAAUCGCUUGAAUGCGGGAGGCGGAGGUUGCGGUGAGCUGAGAUGGUGCCAUUGCACUCUAGGCUGGGCAAUAAGAUCAAACUGUAUCUCAAAAAAAAAAAAAAAAAAAAAAAAGAAAGAAAUUCUCCUACCUCAGUC